GCGGCGAGAAGGUGAAAGGGAUUAUUCAUGACAGCUCAAAUCAUUGACGGCAAGUUAAUCGGCGCGCAGGUACGCGAAGAAGUUUCAGUGGCAGUCGCUACACGCAUUGCUUCUGGGAAACGAAAACCCACACUGGCGACCGUGCUGGUCGGGGAACGACCAGACUCGGCUGCGUAUGUGGCGUCCAAGGGAAAAGCCUGUCUUGAACUGGGCAUGGGUUCGGUCAGCGAACACCUUCCUGCUGACGCCACGCAGGGAGAAGUGGAGUCGCUCGUCACGCGGCUGAAUGCAGACCAACAGAUCAGUGGAAUCCUGGUGCAGUUGCCUCUGCCGGCCCA
rnacentral:misc_RNA from 1 species